GGGAGAUCACCGCUCAAUCGUCCGACGGACGAACCGGGGAACCACACGUUUUCGGAGCAAUCCGGAUUGGGGUGAGUCGCGCCCUGGACACAGUUGUGUCCGGAUCGCGUAGGGCCAUUCUCUCGGCCCGAACCCGACAGCUAACUCGGUAGGCGGUCAAGGGAGAACCA
rnacentral:sRNA from 2 species